CAACCGCGAAUGGCUCAUUAUAACAGCUAUAAUUUACUUGAUCUUGACACAAUCCUACUUGGAUAACUGUGGUAAUUCUAGAGCUAAUACAUGCAUUAAAGCUCUGACCUCACGGGAAGAGUGCAUUUAUUAGAACAAAACCAAGCGGCUUCGGCUGUUUCUGGUUGACUCAUAGUAACUGAGCUGAUCGCAUGGUCUUGCACCGGCGACGUGUCUUUCAAGUAUCUGCCGUAUCAACUUUCGAUGGUAGUGUAUCUGACUACCAUGGUGAUCACGCGUAACGGAGAAUAAGGGUUCGGCUCCGGAGAGUUCGCCUGAGAAAUCGCGAACACAUCUAAGGAAGGCAGCAGGCGCGAAAAUUACCCACUCUCAGCACGAGGAGGUAGUGACGAAAAAUAACGAGACCGUUCUCUUAUGAGGCCGGUCAUCGGAAUGGGUACAAUUUAAACCCUUUAACGAGUAUCUAUGAGAGGGCAAGUCUGGUGCCAGCAGCCGCGGUAAUUCCAGCUCUCAAAGUGCAUAGAAUUAUUG
rnacentral:rRNA from 1 species